UACGGUGGGUGCAAGCGUUAAUCGGAAUUACUGGGUGUAAAGCGCUCGUAGGUGGGUUUGUAAGUCGGAUGUGAAAGCCCUGAGCUUAACCUCGGAAUUGCCUUCGAUACUGCUUGACUAGAGUAUGGUAGAGGGAGGUGGAAUUUCCGGUGUAGCGGUGAAAUGCGUAGAUACCGGAAGGAACACCAGUGGCGAAGGCGGCUUACUGGGCCAAUACUGACCCUGAGGAGCGAAAGCGUGGGUAGCAAACAGG
rnacentral:rRNA from 1 species